UUCUUUUGUUGAACUUCAUCGGGGAUCUAUCUGGUUUUUUAACCUUCUUCCUUAUUUUUUUUAAUCUUCUGUUCAAUCUUUGAUCAAUAUUGGAAACCGUCAGCUCCUUCUCACCUUCUCGAUUUCUCUAUCGUUGAAGACCCAAGCAUAGGUGUUUUUCUUUUUAAUCACCGCAAAUCUUCUGUUCAACCUCAUAUGAAGAUUGGAACCCUUAACUCCUUCUCACCUUCUCGAUUUCUCUAUUCGAUUGCUGCGGGAUCUACUUCGGAAAUACAAUAAUCAGAUGUUUUGAGAUCCCACUAAAUGAGUUCGUUGAUUUCAAUAGCGGAUAUUGUUGUUCGGUAUUUCCUUAUGUUUUAAAAGUACAAUCACCCAAAACCAAAGCAAGCUAAGUUCAAUUUGUAUUUCCUUUAACAUAAAUUAUAAAAUUCUGUAGACGUCCUCAUAUACUAAUAUAUGUUCGUUUCAGGUUUACAACGAUUGUGUAGAAAGAUGGGCUAAAAACAUCAACAAUUACAGUCAACUAACUACGAACGAUGAUGACGUCUUACACGGUUUCCAGACAGGACAGAAACAAAAGGGGAAAGGGUUAGAAACUGAUCAUCAGACAAAGAUUCCAUCCUACUAACAAUAGUUUGAGUGAUGAAAGACAUCUUGAAACGAUGGGUAGUCGGUUUGAAUUGACCACUGGCUAUACUCAAACCGAAGUUCUCGACAGUUCUCUAUUGCCCAGCAACGACCUUGUUUUCAAAACGAUUGAUCAAAUCUUUUUUUACCGAAGCAUGAAUCUUCGUUCCCUGAGUAAAGAGAAGAUAAGAUCUCAGGGAAAAACAUUAGGCAUCGAGAUAAAGGGCUUACUCGGAUAUCUAGAUUGAGGAUGUGAAGAAAGAAUUCUGAGUAAAUGUAAGGGUGAAGGAGCUCUAAGUAUAGUUGUUCAUCUAAUGAGCUCUAAAUAUUUACUAAAAAAAUAAUUAAGAUGGAAAGGAAUCAAAAGGGUUUGUUUGUUGUCACUAUAAAAGAAGGCUCUUAAGACAACGUGACCGCUCCACGUCUCUCUGCCUUUCACUUCACUUCUCUAUUUCUCUCCGCCAGCUAUGGCUCCUUCUUCAUCACCUCUUCGUACUACAAGGCACUGAGAUGAAAACAAUGAAGCGGAUGAGAAGUAUGCGAAUGUGAAAUGGGAAGAGCUUGGAUUUGCUCUGACUCCAACAGGUUACAUGUAUGUAGCCAAAUGCAGAUAAGGUGAGAGCUUUUCACAAGGAAAGAUCCUUCCUUAUGGGGAUAUUUCAAUCAGCCCUUGUUCUGCUAUUCUCAAUUAUGGCCAGGUGUAGCAGUUUUGUUUGCAGACUCAUUGAGUGAAGGAGAAUUAAAAAUAAAAGAUGACAGCAGCGGAUCAGAAUCGAUAUUGGUUGAAGAAGUGAAACUUGUAGAAGCACCAAGAAGAGACUGAGCUUCACCCCUGCCGAUGAUGACGUCACUGUAUUUUUAUCGACAAUGCUUAACUUGGUUUCGACAACCCAGCCAAUAGACUCGAGUCUCAGCUCAGGCGCAAUCUAUGGCGAGAUUGUUUGUUCUGGGAAAAGUCAAUGAAACAGAGCAUCAUCGACACGGCUCUGAGCUCACUCGUCUCUUAUUCUAACUUUUCUGGCGGAUGAGGAUUAGGUGGAGACAAUUUCAUCAUCAGAGAGCUCAUCGUGAAAUGGGGUAACAUCGGCGAGAUCUAUGGAACUCCAACGAGCAAUGGAAACAUCUCGACCUCCUCUUACGCAACUCCGUUAAGCAGCUCUCUACCGCCAAGACAUAUGUUGGUGAUGAAACCGCCGACACCGUUGGCUGAAUUUUUUCAGCCUUUUGGGUUUUGCAGAGAGGGAGAGAGAGAGAGGCCAGGAUCUCUUGUUUCAUUAGUCGAAAUUAGAAUAGACAGAGAAAUGGAAGAGGAAGAACACUGAAAUCAGAACUUUGUGAACAACCAACCAACAAUCCAACAACUGACCUUGCUCCACUUUGGCUUUCGUUUGUUUUUUUUACGGAUGAUCAAUUCUCCUUCUCUUCUCCUUGUUCGAUCUUCAUCUUCAUUUAGCAAUUGAUUAAACACAGUGUUAUGAUUUCCUUUGUCUACCCAUAAGGAAGAGAAAAGCUGAUCUAGGUUGUUCAUUUUUGUUGAGGUGUCAACACCUACUUCAAUACAGAAGCUGAUGUGUACUUGCUUCAAUACAGAAGCUGAUGUGUAGAGGAAAACAAGUAUUGUGUUUUUAUUGUAUUGAUGAUGAGGGCUUA